AUGAGCAAGGGAUUUAAAGUACCCGAGGGAAAGUUUUACCUAGUUGAUGGGGGUUAUGCAAACACUCAGUCAUUUCUCGUACCUUAUCGGGGUGUCCAAUAUCAUUUGAAGGAAUUUGGUCAUGGACAUCCUCGGCCACAAAACCAUAGGGAAUUGUUCAAUCAUCGGCAUGCCGUUCUACGGAACCAUGUGGAGAGGUCCCUAGGAAUUCUUAAAAAGUGCUUCCCAAUUCUUCAUGUUGGCACACUACAUUCAAUCGAGAACCAAAUGAAACUUCCCGCAGCUGCCGCGGUUCUUCACAAUAUCAUCAAAAUGGAGAAGGGUGACGAGACUUGGCUUGACAACUAG
rnacentral:rRNA from 1 species